rnacentral:tRNA from 1 species
GGCAACGUGGCGGAGUGGUUAUCGCGCUAGCCUAGAACUACAUACAAUAUAGCUAGUUCCCUCGGGAGCGUCAGUUCGAGUCUGGCCGUUGUCG